rnacentral:rRNA from 1 species
UGCAGUCGAGCGGUAACARAAAGUAGCUUGCUACUYUGSUGACGAGCGGCGGACGGGUGAGUAAUGCUUGGGAACAUGCCUUGAGGUGGGGGACAACAGUUGGAAACGACUGCUAAUACCGCAUAAUGUCUACGGACCAAAGGGGGCUUCGGCUCUCGCCUUUAGAUUGGCCCAAGUGGGAUUAGCUAGUUGGUGAGGUAAUGGCUCACCAAGGCGACGAUCCCUAGCUGGUUUGAGAGGAUGAUCAGCCACACUGGGACUGAGACACGGCCCAGACUCCUACGGGAGGCAGCAGUGGGGAAUAUUGCACAAUGGGCGCAAGCCUGAUGCAGCCAUGCCGCGUGUGUGAAGAAGGCCUUC